GACGAACGCUGGCGGUGUGCUUCACACAUGCAAGUCGAACGAGGUAGCAAUACCUAGUGGCGGACGGGUGAGUAAACGCGUGGGAAUCUGCCUUUAGAUGGGGGAUAACGGGUCGAAAGACUCGCUAAUACCGCAUAUGACGAAAGUUGAAAGGAGUAAUCCGUCUAAAGAUGAGCCCGCGUCCGAUUAGCUAGUUGGUAGAGUAAAAGCCUACCAAGGCGACGAUCGGUAGCUGGUCUGAGAGGAUGAUCAGCCACAAUGGGAACUAGAGACACGGCCCAUACUCCUACGGGAGGCAGCAGUGGGAAUUUACGCAA
rnacentral:rRNA from 1 species